rnacentral:SRP_RNA from 1 species
GCUGGGCAUGGUGGCGUGUGCCUGUAAUCCCAGCUACUCGGGAGGCUGAGGCAGGAGAAUCGCUUGAACCCGGGAGACAGAGGUUACAGUGAGCUGAGAUCGUGUCACUGCACUCCAGCCUGGGUGACAGAGUGAGCCCUUGUCUCAA